rnacentral:rRNA from 1 species
AUUGAACGCUGGCGGCAUGCUUUACACAUGCAAGUCGAACGGUAACAGGUUAAGCUGACGAGUGGCGAACGGGUGAGUAAUGCAUCGGAACGUGCCCGGUCGUGGGGGAUAACGCAGCGAAAGCUGCGCUAAUACCGCAUACGAUCUGAGGAUGAAAGCGGGGGACCGUAAGGCCUCGCGCGAUCGGAGCGGCCGAUGUCAGAUUAGGUAGUUGGUGGGGUAAAGGCUCACCAAGCCAACGAUCUGUAGCUGGUCUGAGAGGACGAACAGCCACACUGGGACUGAGACACGGCACAGACUCCUACGGGAGGCAGCAGUGGGGAAUUUUGGACAAUGGGCGAAAGCCUGAUCCAGCAAUGCCGCGUGCAGGAAGAAGGCCUUCGGGUGGUAAACUGCUUUUGUACGGAGCGAAAAGGUCUCCUCUAAUACAGGGGGCUCAUGACGGUACCGUAAGAAUAAGCACCGGCUAACUACGUGCCAGCAGCCGCCGUAA